UCUUAUCAGCUUAACAUCUGAUACACCUUUCAUUGAGAGGUUCAAAUGUUAAACUAAUUUUUUCAAACUUUGGUGGAGAUUUUGGGGCUUGCUCCUGCUCCACCGCGGGUUGACCCGGUAUUGCAGUACCACCGGGAACGGCCCACAUAAUAAUAUGAUCUAGGAUAAAAUAUCUCAAAGAUAUAUUCAUUAAUAUAUCAAAAUCUAAUUUAUCCAAAAUUUUGGAAGUUCAAAAUCAAAAAAACUCGAAUUUUGGAUUUUCAAAAAAAAUUUUUGUUUUCGCUCGGUCUAUCCAUAUAUCGUUCUUUUAUUCUAUGGAUGUACAGUAAGUUAUGUUAUAACUUUUACAUCUAGGAAUUUGUAGGCAAAAACAUUUAUUUACUUUAUUUAUUCACCUCGACAUUAAGUGAGAAACAAUUAUUUCAAAGAUGGUUUCGAUUAUCAUUAUGUUUUGCUUAAACCGUUCCGUGUUGUUGUAAUUCGUACAUUAAUACCUAAAUAAUAAAAUAUUGGAAAUUUUAAAUCACUACACGAUUUUUCUGGACAGAUGUUUGAUUUUGUUAAGUAAAGACGUACGAAAAAAUAUGACGUUUUCAAAAUAUUUAUUACGAUUGUCAUCGUUUUUAUUUUGCGUGUAGCAUGUAUAGUAAUAAAACGACGGGCGUUGCCGUCUGCACAUACACACACACACACACGUUCAUAACCCGCCGCCGCUACGACUACGUUCACUGCUGUGUCUACUCGGUUUUUAAUUUGUAUUUUAUUCGAAUUGACCUCUAGCAGCUAUAUUACGAGUUAGAUAUAUGCACGUAUAUUAUUCAACGUUUAAACGGGUCAUUUAGAACUUUGAAUAUUAAGUAUAUUAUGUUUUAAUAAACGAGUAACAAAAAAAAAAUCUAUCUAUAUUAAUUUCACUCCGAGGCAAAUUCCUUCCCCUACCUUGACACGAUCCACUAAAUACAAUAUACUAUACGGCCAUAGUCCAUAGUAGAUACUAAAUUUGAACUCACAAAAUCACUUUAAUUAUUAUCUCUUCUAUCACUAUCAUCCUAUCGAUUUUUGUCGUAUGAAUCGUUGACUGUUAUUCUCGCCCAUGAAUUAAUAAAACAUGAUACCGUUUCGAGAGCUUAUCACUAAAUGAUAAAACGUUAAAAACAAACAAAACAAAUAACAAUAACAACACAAAAUAUGUAAGUCUUCACAAACACAAACAACACAAAGACGAUUUAAGAUAUUGUUCAAUGUCGACGAGUUUAUGAACAAACGGUUAACACUAGGAACUAGAAAGUUAUGUGAUUACAGCAGAAGUUGGUUGGUGCAAUUUUUUGGACUUAUUCGUGUUUGGUUACAUCGCACAUUACGCUUAAAAGCCAACGACACCUUUCUCCGCUCGCUAUGUAGCCGGUUAUUUUUAGAAAGCUGUGUGUCAGUGGUAUCAACAGGUUCAGUUGUGACAUCUACAUCAAACAUAUAACGGGCACCCAGCAGUGUGUUCUAUAAAAUCCUUUUUACCUGUGUAUUUUUCUUUUUUUAUUGUUGUUAUUUUUAUUAUUUUAUCUAGUACCUAAAAUAUAUAAUUUACUUUGAUUUUAAAUUUAAAAAAACUAAAUAAUAAUUGUAAAUUGCUGUAUUAGAAAAUCAAUCUUGAGUUAUCGCCUGCAAAAGAGGAAUAUUGUUGAAACAAAUAAUAGUCAUGACCUAACUGUUACAACUUACAUGUUUGUGAUAUUUUUCUCGACCAGCUGAAACCGCCUAUUGGAGCAGUUUGGUCAAUUCUGUGCCCAGCUGGUGCAGCCUCUUAACCUAGCUGUUACAUGACCUCUGAAUUCUACAUUAAACAGCUGAACACCACCUUUUGGUCAAGCUGUAACAAAACGUUAUUAAAAUGUUACAAAAUAAAUAUAAUAAAUAUGUAUUAAACUAAUUUCUUGUAAUAAAUUAUUAAUAAAAUCUCAUCAGUUAAAUUAUUAUAAAAUUAAA